UACAGGGGGUGCAAACGUUGCUCGGAAUCAUCGGGCGUAAAGCGCACGUAGGCGGUUCGUUAUGUCGGAUGUGAAAGCCCUUGGCUUAACCGAGGAAGUGCAUCCGAAACUGGCGAGCUAGAGUACGAAAGAGGAUCGCGGAAUUCCCGGUGUAGAGGUGAAAUUCGUAGAUAUCGGGAGGAACACCGGUGGCGAAGGCGGCGAUCUGGGUCGAUACUGACGCUGAGGUGCGAAAGCGUGGGGAGCAAACAGG
rnacentral:rRNA from 1 species